UAAACUCUAGCAUUAAUAUUCACAACAAAAUACUCUUUUCAACUAAAAGAUAGUACAUCAAAAUACAAUUGCAAUUGCCCUCAUCACAGGCUCUCUGACAAAUGACCACCACAAAAGACAUUACCAUCCACUAAACUGGGUUACAAUUGUUUUCAUUUAAUAAACAACUAGAUUACGCUUGCAACAAAAUGAGUUGAAUUAUUCCUACGAGUCAUACAUAAAACCAAAUAAAAAAAGAAUAUAAUGAAGUCCACACAGAAAAUUAGUGCACUAACUACUAAAACCAUGCCAAAGUGCUUGAGCAAAAACCAUAAACAAUAAAAGUCUAGACAUGUAAUAGCAUAUUUUGUACAUAGACUUCAGAUGCACCCAAUACAUAUAACAUUUAUUUGUUCAAGUUUAGAUUUUGAACAAAUUCCAUCUACCUCCAACUUUAAGGCAAAACCCUAAAAUCACCAGCUCCAUAGUGUUCGUCAGCGAAGCAAUAGGUGUCACUGUCAUAUGAAGCAUAAAUCCAUCAUCUCUCUGCCAAAAUCGGUGGUCGUCGUCGUCCUCUAGCGAGCGGCGACGAUGAUGAUGAUCCCAUAUCUCUUUCUAUUCUUCAUUGAAAAUAAUCCAUGGAUCCAAGUUUGAUUU
rnacentral:lncRNA from 1 species